AUGCACGCUGGCGGCGUGCCUCAUACCUGCAAGUCGAGCGCACGGACGAGAAGCUUGCUUCUCUGAUGUUAGCGGCGGACGGGUGAGUAACACGUGGAUAACCUACCUAUAAGACUGGGAUAACUUCGGGAAACCGGAGCUAAUACCGGAUAAUAUUUUGAACCGCAUGGUUCAAAAGUGAAAGACGGUCUUGCUGUCACUUAUAGAUGGAUCCGCGCUGCAUUAGCUAGUUGGUAAGGUAACGGCUUACCAAGGCAACGAUGCAUAGCCGACCUGAGAGGGUGAUCGGCCACACUGGAACUGAGACACGGUCCAGACUCCUACGGGAGGCAGCAGUAGGGAAUCUUCCGCAAUGGGCGAAAGCCUGACGGAGCAACGCCGCGUGAGUGAUGAAGGUCUUCGGAUCGUAAAACUCUGUUAUUAGGGAAGAACAUAUGUGUAAGUAACUGUGCACAUCCUGACGGUACCUAAUCAGAAAGCCACGGCUAACUACGUG
rnacentral:rRNA from 1 species